rnacentral:lncRNA from 1 species
CACCCGCCGCUGUAUGGACUCCAUUUUUGGCGGGGGACAAUUGAGAGUAAUGUGAAUAGGACGGAUAGUGCUGACAGUUGGAAAACCCAAUUGGGAACUCGACAGAUUGAGGAAAACGCGGCAACUGGAAGAAGAUGAAGAUAGUUUGCUUAGCCGUGGAAUUGAACUGUGAAAGCCUAGAGAGGAAGAAGAAAAAGAAGGGAAUCCCAGUCUGAUUGGCGGAGCCGCUGAGGUAUAUGCUUUUAUUUUUUCUUUUUUCU